rnacentral:rRNA from 1 species
UACGUAGGUGACGAGCGUUAUCCGGAUUUAUUGGGCGUAAAGCGCACGCAGGCGGCAGAGAAAGUCUGACGUGAAAUCUCCCGGCUUAACUGGGAGCGGUCGUUGGAAACUACUUGGCUUGAGGCGAUGAGAGGGGUGUGGAAUUCCCGGUGUAGUGGUGGAAUGCGUAGAUAUCGGGGGGAACAUCAGUGGCGAAGGCGGCUCACUGGCUCGUUUCUGACGCUCAGGCGCGAUAGCGUGGGGAUCAAACAGG